UACAGAGGUCUCAAGCGCUGUUCGGAUUCAUUGGGCGUAAAGGGUGUGUAGGUGGCGCGCUAAGUCGGGUGUGAAAUUUCGGAGCUUAACUCCGAAACUGCAUUUGAUACUGGCGUGCUUGAGGACUGGAGAGGAGACUGGAAUUCAUGGUGUAGCAGUGAAAUGCGUAGAGAUCAUGAGGAAGACCAGUGGCGAAGGCGGGUCUCUGGACAGUUCCUGACACUGAGACACGAAGGCCAGGGGAGCAAACGGG
rnacentral:rRNA from 1 species